ACUCCGGUAGUACAGUGUUAGCACGCACCACUAGAAAGGGAGAGAUGUGGGUUCGAUUCUCGCCCAGGGUU